UGGGGAAUAUUGCACAAUGGGCGAAAGCCUGAUGCAGCGACGCCGCGUGGGGGAUGACGGCCUUCGGGUUGUAAACCUCUUUCAGCAAGGAAGAAGCGAAAGUGACGGUACUUGCAGAAGAAGCGCCGGCUAACUACGUGCCAGCAGCCGCGGUAAUACGUAGGGCGCAAGCGUUGUCCGGAAUUAUUGGGCGUAAAGGGCUUGUAGGUGGCUUGUCGCGUCUGCCGUGAAAACUCGAGGCUUAACCUUGGGCGUGCGGUGGGUACGGGCAGGCUAGAGUUGGGUAGGGGAGACUGGAAUUCCUGGUGUAGCGGUGAAAUGCGCAGAUAUCAGGAGGAACACCGAUGGCGAAGGCAGGUCUCUGGGCCGUUACUGACACUGAGAAGCGAAAGCAGGGGGAGCGAACAGG
rnacentral:rRNA from 1 species